rnacentral:lncRNA from 1 species
AUCCCUUGAGUUACUUUAAGAGAAGAAGGGAAGGGGUCUGGUCUCUGUGAUUCAGAAAAAGAACAGAAGUUCAGAAACAAGAUGAUGAAGGUUUAAGAAGCAGCAUCAUCAGCGAACUGUGUUUUGAAGAUUUGAGGGAAGGGCUGACCUCAGGAUUUUAUACUAGGUAUUUGAUGCAAUGCAGACUGGAAUCCUCCCCACAAGGAUGCCCUGGCCUGAGUGGCACAGAGAUCAAUGCAGCAGUCAUUUCCUGGGCGGGGAAAGCCCAUCCACAGUGGCCCUGGAAUGAUGCUGGUCUUACCUUCUAUUCCUAGGAAGGCCCUAUCUCAAGUGGCUCUGGUCCAUGCAAACAGAUGGAAACGGGUGUGGGGAAGCACAGGCCUCCUACUCAUGUUAAGAGAGCUGCUCAGAGGCAGGAAUCCAGAACCAGGAAUGUCCCCAGUGGCUGCCCAAGGUACAAGUGGCAGGCAGCGGGGAGAAUGGCAUGUGAAGUCAUUUGUAACCUGGCCCCAGCUUGGUUUCCAAGUCUCAGAGGAGAUUAUGGAUAUGGUAGUGCCUGGCUCAGUGCUUAAAAUCCAUUCUCCUGCUAUUUCCCUCACCUACACUCAGCCCCACAAGCCGAGAUGUUUGCUGGACAUUUCAGGCACUGCCACCCAGUUCUGUCUACCUUACCUGCUAACACCUGUUGACCAUCCUUCAUGUGAAGGCUUCCCCAAAUACUUCCCAAUCAAAACACUAAAAGGCAGACCUGAAAUUAAUAAAAAUGUUAAUUAAAUCUGUACAACAGAAAGCAUAAUGCCAGUCUUUUUAAUUAUGAAAUGUAGCAUUCAUAUAAAUUUCAUUGCUUUUGAAAACAA